rnacentral:rRNA from 1 species
ACAGCAGUAGCCGCGGUAAUACGUAGGUGGCGAGCGUUGUCCGGAAUCAUUGGGCGUAAAGGGAGCGCAGGCGGGCAUGUAAGUCUUUCUUAAAAGUUCGGGGCUCAACCCCGUGAUGGGAAAGAAACUACAUGUCUUGAGUACAGGAGAGGAAAGCGGAAUUCCCAGUGUAGCGGUGAAAUGCGUAGAUAUUGGGAGGAACACCAGUGGCGAAGGCGGCUUUCUGGACUGCAACUGACGCUGAGGCUCGAAAGCCAGGGGAGCGAACGGGAUUAGAUACCCCCGUAGUCCCUGUCUCUUAUACA